rnacentral:rRNA from 1 species
AUUGAACGCUGGCGGCAGGCCUAACACAUGCAAGUCGAGCGGAUGAAGGGAGCUUGCUCCUGGAUUCAGCGUCGGACGGGUGAGUAAUGCCUAGGAAUCUGCCUGGUAGUGGGGGAUAACGUCCGGAAACGGGCGCUAAUACCGCAUACGUCCUGAGGGAGAAAGUGGGGGAGCUUCGGACCUCAGGCUAUCAGAUGAGCCUAGGUCGGAUUAGCUAGUUGGUGGGGUAAAGGCCUACCAAGGCGACGAUCCGUAACUGGUCUGAGAGGAUGAUCAGUCACACUGGAACUGAGACACGGUCCAGACUCCUACGGGAGGCAGCAGUGGGGAAUAUUGGACAAUGGGCGAAAGCCUGAUCCAGCCAUGCCGCGUGUGUGAAGAAGGUCUUCGGAUUGUAAAGCACUUUAAGUUGGGAGGAAGGGCAGUAAGUUAAUACCUUGCUGUUUUGACGUUACCAACAGAAUAAGCACCGGCUAACUUCGUG